AUGACAAAUCUAGAAAUCAAGACUUUAUUAGUUGCAGUUGCCAUUCAUGGAGUCGUGGGUCAGAUCAAACUGGAGCAGUCGCCCUCUGUGGUGAAAAAGCCCGGAGAAGCAACAAAGAUAUCCUGCUCUGUGAAUGGAUUUGACAAAGCUAACGAGUUUGUUCACUGGACACGGCAAAAGACAGGGAGAGCUCUCGAGUGGAUCGGAAGACAGUCUCUGUCACAGCAAGAAUAUUCUUCAUCCUUUCAAAGUCGUUUUACUCUCUCAUAUGACGCGUCCCGCAGCUCUGCACACCUCAGCAUCAGGAGUCUGACAGAGGCAGACUCUGCCGUGUACUUCUGUGCUCAUACAGCACAGUGGCUCAAAACGCCACAACACCAGUGUAAAAACCUCCCAGAGAAAAACAAGGGAUGA